rnacentral:rRNA from 2 species
GGGUUGUGAGGUUAAGCGACCAAGCGUACACGGUGGAUGCCCUGGCAGUCAGAGGCGAUGAAGGACGUGCUAAUCUGCGAAAAGCGCCGGUAAGGUGAUAUGAACCGUUAUAACCGGCGAUGUCCGAAUGGGGAAACCCAGUGUGACUCGUCACACUAUCAUUAACUGAAUCCAUAGGUUAAUGAGGCGAACCGGGGGAACUGAAACAUCUAAGUACCCCGAGGAAAAGAAAUCAACCGAGAUUCCCCCAGUAGCGGCGAGCGAACGGGGAGGAGCCCAGAGCCUGAAUCAGCAUGUGUGUUAGUGGAAGCGUCUGGAAAGGCGCGCGAUACAGGGUGACAGCCCCGUACACAAAAGCGCAUGUGCUGUGAGCUCGAUGAGUAGGGCGGGACACGUGGUAUCCUGUCUGAAUAUGGGGGGACCAUCCUCCAAGGCUAAAUACUCCUGACUGACCGAUAGUGAACCAGUACCGUGAGGGAAAGGCGAAAAGAACCCCGGCGAGGGGAGUGAAACAGAACCUGAAACCGUGUACGUACAAGCAGUGGGAGCAUGAGUUUACUCAUGUGACUGCGUACCUUUUGUAUAAUGGGUCAGCGACUUAUAUUCUGUAGCAAGGUUAACCGAAUAGGGGAGCCGGAGGGAAACCGAGUCUUAAUUGGGCGUUAAGUUGCAGGGUAUAGACCCGAAACCCGGUGAUCUAGCCAUGGGCAGGUUGAAGGUUGGGUAACACUAACUGGAGGACCGAACCGACUAAUGUUGAAAAAUUAGCGGAUGACCUGUGGCUGGGGGUGAAAGGCCAAUCAAACCGGGAGAUAGCUGGUUCUCCCCGAAAGCUAUUUAGGUAGCGCCUCGUGAAUUCAUCUCCGGGGGUAGAGCACUGUUUCGGCCAGGGGGCCAUCCCGGCUUACCAACCCGAUGCAAACUGCGAAUACCGGAGAAUGUUAUCACGGGAGACACACGGCGGGUGCUAACGUCCGUCGUGAAGAGGGAAACAACCCAGACCGCCAGCUAAGGUCCCAAAGUCAUGGUUAAGUGGGAAACGAUGUGGGAAGGCCCAGACAGCCAGGAUGUUGGCUUAGAAGCAGCCAUCAUUUAAAGAAAGCGUAAUAGCUCACUGGUCGAGUCGGCCUGCGCGGAAGAUGUAACGGGGCUAAACCAUGCACCGAAGCUGCGGCAGCGACACUGUGUGUUGUUGGGUAGGGGAGCGUUCUGUAAGCCUGCGAAGGUGUGCUGUGAGGCAUGCUGGAGGUAUCAGAAGUGCGAAUGCUGACAUAAGUAACGAUAAUGCGGGUGAAAAACCCGCACGCCGGAAGACCAAGGGUUCCUGUCCAACGUUAAUCGGGGCAGGGUGAGUCGACCCCUAAGGCGAGGCCGAAAGGCGUAGUCGAUGGGAAACAGGUUAAUAUUCCUGUACCUGGUGUUACUGCGAAGGGGGGACGGAGAAGGCUAUGUUGGCCGGGCGACGGUUGUCCCGGUUUAAGCGUGUAGGCUGGUUUUCCAGGCAAAUCCGGAAAAUCAAGGCUGAGGCGUGAUGACGAGGCACUACGGUGCUGAAGCAACAAAUGCCCUGCUUCCAGGAAAAGCCUCUAAGCCUCAGGUAACAUCAGAUCGUACCCGAAACCGACACAGGUGGUCAGGUAGAGAAUACCAAGGCGCUUGAGAGAACCCGGGUGAAGGAACUAGGCAAAAUGGUGCCGUAACUUCGGGAGAAGGCACGCUGACACGUAGGUGAAGCGGUUUACCCGUGAAGCUGAAGUCAGUCGAAGAUACCAGCUGGCUGCAACUGUUUAUUAAAAACACAGCACUGUGCAAACACGAAAGUGGACGUAUACGGUGUGACGCCUGCCCGGUGCCGGAAGGUUAAUUGAUGGGGUCAGCGCAAGCGAAGCUCCUGAUCGAAGCCCCGGUAAACGGCGGCCGUAACUAUAACGGUCCUAAGGUAGCGAAAUUCCUUGUCGGGUAAGUUCCGACCUGCACGAAUGGCGUAAUGAUGGCCAGGCUGUCUCCACCCGGGACUCAGUGAAAUUGAACUCGCUGUGAAGAUGCAGUGUACCCGCGGCAAGACGGAAAGACCCCGUGAACCUUUACUAUAGCUUGACACUGAACACUGGUCCUUGAUGUGCAGGAUAGGUGGGAGGCUUUGAAGUGUGGACGCCAGUCUGCAUGGAGCCGUCCUUGAAAUACCACCCUUUAAUGGCUGGUGUUCUAACGUAGACCCGUGAACCGGGUUGCGGACAGUGUCUGGUGGGUAGUUUGACUGGGGCGGUCUCCUCCUAAAGCGUAACGGAGGAGCACGAAGGUUGGCUAAUCCUGGUCGGACAUCAGGAGGUUAGUGCAAUGGCAUAAGCCAGCUUGACUGCGAGCGUGACGGCGCGAGCAGGUGCGAAAGCAGGUCAUAGUGAUCCGGUGGUUCUGAAUGGAAGGGCCAUCGCUCAACGGAUAAAAGGUACUCCGGGGAUAACAGGCUGAUACCGCCCAAGAGUUCAUAUCGACGGCGGUGUUUGGCACCUCGAUGUCGGCUCAUCACAUCCUGGGGCUGAAGUAGGUCCCAAGGGUAUGGCUGUUCGCCAUUUAAAGUGGUACGCGAGCUGGGUUUAGAACGUCGUGAGACAGUUCGGUCCCUAUCUGCCGUGGGCGCUGGAGAACUGAGGGGGGCUGCUCCUAGUACGAGAGGACCGGAGUGGACGCAUCACUGGUGUUCGGGUUGUCAUGCCAAUGGCACUGCCCGGUAGCUAAAUGCGGAAGAGAUAAGUGCUGAAAGCAUCUAAGCACGAAACUUGCCCCGAGAUGAGUUCUCCCUGAGACUACAAGUCUCCUGAAGGAACGUUGAAGACGACGACGUUGAUAGGCCGGGUGUGUAAGCGCAGCGAUGCGUUGAGCUAACCGGUACUAAUGAACCGUGAGGCUUAACCUUACAACGCCGAAG